AGCGUUCGUAGCCGGAUUAUUAAGUCUCGGGUGAAAUCGUUGCGCUAAACAAAACGGCGUGCCUGAGAAACUACUAAUCUAGGGACCGGGAGGAGUUAGGAGUAUUCUGGAGGGAGCGGUAAAAUGCUAUAAUCUCCAGUGGACUACCUGUGGCGAAGGCGCCUAACUAGAACGGGUCCGACGGUGAGGAACGAAAGCUAGGGGAGCAAAAGGGAUUAGAUACCCCGGUAGUCCCAGCUGUAAAUCAUGUAGACUUUGGUGUUACAUAGGAGUAAUCCUAUGUAGUGCUGUAGCGUAAGUGUUAAGUCUACCGCCUGGGGAGUACGAUCGCAAGAUUGAAAUUCUGUGAACAAGUUCACAGCUUUAUU
rnacentral:rRNA from 1 species